CCUACGGGAGGCAGCAGUGGGGAAUUUUGGACAAUGGGGGCAACCCUGAUCCAGCCAUGCCGCGUGUGUGAAGAAGGCCUUCGGGUUGUAAAGCACUUUCGGACGGAACGAAAUCGCGCGGGUGAACAAUCCGCGUGGAUGACGGUACCGUAGGAAGAAGCACCGGCUAACUACGUGCCAGCAGCCGCGGUAAUACGUAGGGUGCGAGCGUUAAUCGGAAUUACUGGGCGUAAAGCGUGCGCAGGCGGCGCCGCAGGUCAGGCGUGAAAUCCCCGAGCUUAACUUGGGAAUGGCGCUUGAAACUACGGUGCUGGAGUGUGGCAGAGGGAGGUGGAAUUCCACGUGUAGCGGUGAAAUGCGUAGAGAUGUGGAGGAGCACCGAUGGCGAAGGCAGCCUCCUGGGCCAACACUGACGCUCAUGCACGAAAGCGUGGGGAGCAAACAGGAUUAGAUACCCUGGUAGUCCACGCCCUAAACGAUGAUGACUAGUUGUUGGGGGAGUUAAAUCCCUUAGUAACGCAGCUAACGCGUGAAGUCAUCCGCCUGGGGAGUACGGUCGCAAGAUUAAAACUCAAAGGAAUUGACGG
rnacentral:rRNA from 1 species